rnacentral:rRNA from 1 species
UACGUAGGGUGCGAGCGUUGUCCGGAAUUAUUGGGCGUAAAGAGCUCGUAGGCGGUGUGUCACGUCGGCCGUGAAAACCUGCAGCUUAACUGUGGGCGUGCGGUCGAUACGGGCAUCACUGGAGUUCGGCAGGGGAGACUGGAAUUCCUGGUGUAGCGGUGAAAUGCGCAGAUAUCAGGAGGAACACCGGUGGCGAAGGCGGGUCUCUGGGCCGAUACUGACGCUGAGGAGCGGAAGCGUGGGGAGCGAACAGG